UACGAAAGGUGCAAGCGUUGUUCGGAAUGACUGGGCGUAAAGCGCACGUAGGCGGAUUCGCAAGUCGGAUGUGAAAGCCCCAGGCUCAACCUGGGAAUGGCACCCGAAACUACAAAUCUUGAAUGCUUGAGAGGUUGGUGGAAUUCCAGGUGUAGGAGUGAAAUCCGUAGAUAUCUGGAGGAAUUUCGGUGGCGAAGGCGACCAACUGGUGGUGCAUUGACGCUAAGGUGCGAAAGCGUGGGGAGCAAACAGG
rnacentral:rRNA from 1 species